rnacentral:pre_miRNA from 1 species
AGUCCAAUAGGGAGGGCAUUGCAGGUGAUAUUUGAAAGCCCUGCAGUGGCUCCUAUUGGUCAUU